UAAUUUUUUUUAAUUUUUCGGUUUUGACAGAAGUAACUAUUAGAACUAAUUUUGUGCUGCGGUCUUAUACAAAGCAGUCUGAAGCUUUAAACAGAGUGCGUUUGACAAUUUGAUCACAUGCGGGUGAGGACUUAGACGGAGCGGUGUUGAAAAUGGCUGUUCAAGUUGCUACAGAGAAAGAAUAUCGAGAAAAGUUACUGCGUAUGGUGAAAAAGGAGGUGAAACAGAUCAUGGAAGAAGCCGUUACUAGAAAGUUUGUUCACGAAGAAAGCAGCAGUAUUACUUCUCUAUGUGGU